AAUUCAAAAGGAAAGGGUACACGUCAUGUUGUGUGCAAGAAGGAGAAAUGCAAGGCAGUUUAAAAAAAAUGGAAGGCCUAUAUCAUGUCCAUGACUAACAUGCAUUGUUGGGUUAAAUAUGUUCGCAAAUUAAGAUGACAUGCGUUUCAGAACCGUGGACAGACGUUAACAGGGCGAUCCAAAACGAGAAAGAGCCAGACGUUUUCCCCCGACAAGAGCAAAGGGCAUUCUGGGAAUCAGGCAGACGGGAUCGUGGCUGGGGGUUUCCCGUCCCACGCUGACUCUUGGCCUGUGGCCUUGUGAUCAUCCCGUCACCAUGACAACUGACAGAGGGUCCCCGCUGUUAAGGAGACUGAAGAAAGGCAGAACGGUUUCACAGGCAAGGGCCGCGGUGAGAGGAAACAACUCGGAAUCAAUACUGGGCUCCUUUGUCGGCGUCGCUACGACAACACAGCCAGCCUGGGUCUUGUGGAGCGGAGCAAAGGCUCAUGGGAUAGUCAUGACAGACAGCUCUUUACCGGAAGGCUCGGGUGGGAAACAGAGCGUGGCGGCCCGAAGGUCUCACCGGAACUCCUCCUCAGUCAUCUGAUUGCUCGUCUGAGUAAUCGUGUUCUGACAAUCUCAAGUGACUGUCACAAAGAGUCAGUAAAAGUCCUGUGUUAGCAGCAAGGAUUUGAAAGGGACAUUUCGAGUAUUUAGCAUUUUAGGUCUAAUUUUCUCAAAUGUUUGCUUUUAGUAUAUAAGCAUAAUCUAGACAAUUAUUUAGGUCAAAGUUGCAUUUC